AUGCCAAAGAGGAAAGGAGGAUUGGGGUUCAGAGACCUACACAGUUUUAAUCUUGCUUUACUAGCAAAACAGUGUUGGCGACUACUCUAGAAUCCAGAAUCGUUGUGUACUCAAGUUCUUAGUGCUAAAUAUUAUCCUGAUGGGAAUAUAUUGAACGCAGGGCCGAAGAAGGGUUCCUCCUUCACUUGGCAGAGUAUUGUUGCGGGUAUCCAAACUUUCAAAAAAGGAUACAUUUGGAGAGUUGGUACGAGAACACAUAUCAAUAUUUGGCAAGACCCGUGGAUACCUUCAAGUGAGUCCAGGAAAAUUAUAACACCGCGAGGUGCAACAAUGUUGACAAAAGUGGAAGAGUUAAUUGACCCUCAUACUGGACAGUGGGAUGAGGUACUGAUCCGCGAUGUUUUUUGGCCAGUGGACGUGUACAGAAUAUUACAAAUUCCACUCAGAGUGCAUGUUAUGGAGGACUUUGUAUCAUGGCACUAUAACCAGACUGGAAGCUUUACUGUAAGGUCGACCUAUCACACAGAGUUUAAACAUCAAUUCGGGAGACAAAUGGAUCUGUCUUGCCCACAAGGGAGCCGAGACCAGAACAUAUGGAAAUACGUUUGGGCUCUUCGAGUGCCUGGGAAGGUCAAGCAUUUUGUCUGGAAAAUUAUCAGAGGAGUUCUACCAUGCUAUGGAACGCUGGCCGGACGCCACAUACCUGUUUCUGGCCAAUGCCCAGUAUGCAAGGUAGGAUUUGAAGACUCACAACACUGUCUUUUUCAAUGUGAGCGUGCACUGGAGAUUUGGGAUAGCCUUGGAGUUCAGAAAGAGAUC
rnacentral:rRNA from 1 species